rnacentral:lncRNA from 1 species
UAUAUCAACUAUACUGAAAUGAAUAAAUAAAUAAAUACAUACAUACAUAGAAAUUUACACCUGCCACACCUACACUGGCAGAAAGUUCUGACCUUCAUGAAGUCCUAAGUGCCUCUCAUUUAUAAAGAGGUUGGUAGCAUGAAACAAAGAAGAUAAAGUACUUAACCCAAUGCCUGGGACAAGGAAAGUACUAAGUAAAUGGUAUGAUUAUUAAUAAUCUCAGCCAAGUUAUCAAUGGCAUAGGAAUGGGAGUUUGUCAGGCUGUCAAACUGAGGUGAUUAUAGGGAAAUACUUAAGUUUCAUUUUCCUAGCCUUAAGCUAGGUAGCCCAUUUUAAGGACAUUAGCUAUUACGCUCAGUAAAAUGGUGCCACUGAAGGGUUUGCACAGAACUGUAGACUACUUUGACUUGUGUUUUAAAAGGGUCACUCUUGGGAGUUCCCAUUGUGGCUCAGCAGGUUAUGAACCCAGCUAGUAUCCUUGAGAAUUUGGAUUUGAUCCCUGGCCUUGCUCAGUGGGCUAAGGAUCUGGCAUUGUUGUGAACUAUGGUGUCGGUCUCAGACAUGGCUUGGAUCCUGCUUUGCUGUGGCUGUGAUGUAAGCUGGUAACUAUAGCUCCAACUCAACCCCUAGCCUAGGAACUUUCAUAGAUUGCAGGUGCGGCCCUUAAAAAAAAAAAAAUGCAGGGAAAAAAGGGUCACUCUUGCCUUCUGUGUUUCAACUCUGCAACUCGGAGGAAAGGGAGACUCAGGAAGACCUGGCAAGAAAUGCUGGCGCUCUAAGCAGCAUGGCAGCAAUGGAGGUGGUGAGAAGUACACAGGUUCUGGUUACAUUGCGAAGGUAAAGCCAGGUGGAUUUCCUACUCCAUGGAACAUAUGUGUGUGUCAUAGAACAUGGGUGUGUAUGUGUGUGAGAGAGAGGAGAUCCAGGGCCUGAAAAGGAAGUUGCUAUGAAUUAACUUCCUUCCUUCAACAAAUACGUACUGAAGAAGAGAUGUAGACAUUCGUUCUGUAGCACCCAGAGAUCCAAGGAGGCACCUGACAGAGUUGCUGCCGAGGAAGCAUCACGUUAUAGAAGCAUCUGCUUGGAGAGCAGAAUUUGUGAAGGGUUGGACAGACAGGGGAGGAAUGAGACAUCUCUAAACCAGUUUUUUUUUUUUUUUCCUGGAGUUUUGGCUACUCCCCUCUCCUCUUCCUAUUUGUCUGUCCUGUCCUGAGACGUGGUCCCACCCUUACCCCUAGUGUGUCGGGAACAUCCUCUCCCUGGGCCUGAUUCUUAAGAAUGUAUAUUUAGGAAAUAUUUUCUCUGUAACCAUCUCACUUGAAGACGAAGACCGUAUCAAUAGUCCAGACACUCGGAAAGCAAUGCGUGUCUCCCCAGGCUGAAGGCAUUUUCUUUCCUAACUAUUUCCAGCCUGCUUCCUUCCAGAUGCAUCUAGUGAACAUAUUCAGGCUCACGCAGAGGAGGAAGCUGUCUGAGGAAAGGGCAGGCAGCCUGCACACUCCAGCUGGGGCACUGUUUGCGGUAACUCUAUUUUUAAUAUACAUUGCUGACCCCUAAUGAUGGUCUAUUGAGAUGAGGGCGAGAAAUGUCUGAUCAAGUGGAGAUUAAUUUUUGACUGUGUCGCCCAGAAUGCAUGAAAAUGCACUCCUUUUUUCUAUUUAGACUCCCAGGAUGCUUUGAUUGAUUGACUAGUUUACAAAUGAAGGUGAUAAAAUUAGGUUGAAGACCACAUACAUUUCUUAAAAUGAGGCUGGCUGGUCGUGGAGACAAUGAGGUUUGGACAGAUUGUAUUGCUGGUUUAGGCAAUCUUCUGAGCAUGUCAAGAUUUAUAGACCUGUACUGUAAUGUUACAAUUGCAGCUCACUGAUAUAGGUUUCUUUUCAAAUUCUUUCCCAUUUUAUUUGAAAAAGGCCAUUAGAGAGUUAUAGACUAUUGAAAAAGCUUUUUCUUGGCUAACCCUUAAUAAACUCUUCCAAACAAGGACCACUGCAUUUUUAUAUUAAAUUUAGGCCAAAAUCUAUAAAACAUGCUAUCCCAGGUUGGAUAAUUUGAUUAUUAUUAUCUAAAUGGAGUUAUGGUUCAUAUUGGUUUGCAGUAAUGUACAUAGUAAAUAAAAUGUAAGUUGAGAUUUGUAUAAGAUCACAGGACACUGUGUUUUCUUUUUUGUUGUUGUUGUUUUUCCUGCAAGCCUUUCUUCAGGAAAUCUCAGCCAAUUUUCCCUGAGAUGAGAAAUUAAAAGAAAAAAAAAAAGAGAGAGAGACUCCAGUGGUGAAAUUAAUGCUGCAUUGUACUAAAACCAAAUUGCUAUUAAUAUUUUCUUGUUCUCAUCAUAAUAGAGGCAAAGCUACAAAUGUCUUAGGAGUUACCCAACUAAUAAGAUUUACCAAGGGGACCAAAAAGCAUGAGAAAAUACUCAGCAGAAUUAGAAACAAUUACUCCAUUGUAAGUUAUGAUGUGAGAAAUAAUAGAUGAGAUUCUGAAGUUAUUUAUGAAUUAGUCAAUUCUGAUUCAUACAUUUUUGCCAAAUAACUUAUGAAAUCAUUUUCCAGGCCCAUAGUCUUUUAUGAGAGUUCUAUACUUGGUUAAGGAUUUUCUUCUAGGGCUUUCUGCAGUUAUGCUGAAUUCUUCGAUGAUGCCUAGAUUUUGACCUACGUUUUCCACUCUGAGGGCAACCCACUGGCAGUGCCAGAAACUUCCCUGAGGUCUCCACGCUGGAGCUGCACAGCAUAUGAAGAAGUUCUAAGAUUUUACCUGUUCAGCAGGAGGUACUCGAAGUGGAUUGAGACUGUCAAAGAAGGUGGUAUGGCUGGGGGGGCUCAGCCCACGGCUCUCAGUAAAUGGUCCGAGAUCUCGACAAAUGAAUUAUCAUCACGAAUAUGAUUUUUGCUACACCUCUUAUUUCUAGGGUUCAGAAUAAGCACAGCACAAUUCAAAAAAUCUAGUUUAGACUGUGACGAACAUGGUACAUGACCUUGAGCAAAUUCCCUGCUGAGUCCCUUCCUCUGUCCUUAUGCCAUCCAGCUGCUUGCAGGGGCCAUUUUUUGGGGGGGGUAAAAUGAAGUGACAGAUAUGAAAGCUCUUUUGGAAGUACAGAAGGCUGCAGGAUCAUCAGUAAUUAUUUUUAAUCAUUCCCAGGUAGCUGCUCUCUGGCCUUUUUUAAGGUGGGAAGUGGACCAUUGUUAAGAGUCAGUAAGCGUAAGGGACCUUCUCUCACCGCUGAGGGCAGUUUACAAGGGGGUUGCCAGUGUGAGCGAAAGGAUUUAAGGGGGCUUAGGGUCAAGUGGUUUGAAGUACCCAGCCGAGCACCAGGCUGCUGCCACUGAUUUAGUUUAGAAGUGGAUGAACUUUGAAAUGCAGAACAUCAUUUCUGCAGAAGGUCAUCAUAUUUCUUGAUGAUUUACACGGAGAAGGCUGAGACUGUGCUGGGUUCAUUUUAGAUCCUCCAGUGCCAAGAGAAAAUAUGCUGAUGGAAGGGAUAGUGCCGGGGUGGCUGGUAAAGACUCUGGCUGCCAGAAGAAAUGGCAGAAAUGGACCGAGUUGAUUUCAGGGAAGGUGAUGAUGGAAUUUGCCAGCCUUCCCAGUCCCUUUCUGGGGGACUUUGCAGUUGGGAAUUUUGUACACAAGAGUGCCUGAACUGCCUUUUUACCCUCCUGCCACCAGGCACCUCUCAGAACUGUUGGUUCAGGCUGCAGCUGGGAGAUGGGACAUAGCUUUCCCUUAGGAAGAAGUCUUACACAUCUUCUCUUGCUCUAGAGGCCCCACACAGAGCCCACCUGGUUUCAAGAAGUGGUCUAAAGCUUUCUUCUUCUUCUUUUUUAAAUUUAUUAGUGUAUAGUUGAUUUACAAUGUUGUGUCAGUUUCUGCUGUACAGCAAAGUGACCCAGUCCUACAUAUAUAUAUAUGUUCUCUUAUAUUAUCUUCCAUCAUGUGCUCUUCCAAGAGACCUGAUAUAGUUCCCUGUGGUAUACAGCAGGACCUCAUUGCUCAUCCAUUCUAAGUGUGAUAAUAGUUUGCAUCCACUAACUCCAAACUCCCAGUCCAUCCCACUCCUGCCUUCCUCCUCCUUGGCAACCACCAAGUCUGUUCUCUACAUUGCAGCCUAAUUUCAGGGGAAAACAUUAAAAAGCUGACUGUAGGAUAUUACUUCUCAAAUAUACCCACAUGUCAGUAUUUUAAGUGUUCAAAGGCAGUGUCCAUUUUCUCAGCAUUCUGUUAUUUAACUGCAGAGGUCAUUCUUGUGUAAGAAUGUGCUUUUUUUUUUCUUUUUAAUCCAUGGAUAUUAAUGAAGUUAUUUUCAUUUC